rnacentral:rRNA from 1 species
GACGAACGCUGGCGGCGUGCUUAACACAUGCAAGUCGAACGGAAAGGCCCUGCUUUUGUGGGGUGCUCGAGUGACGAACGGGUGAGUAACACGUGAGUAACCUGCCCCUGACUUUGGGAUAACUUCAGGAAACUGGGUCUAAUCCCGGAUAGGAGCUCCUGCUGCAUGGUGGGGGUUGGAAAGUUUCGGCGGUUGGGGAUGGACUCGCGGCCUAUCGGCUUGUUGGUUUGGUAGUGUCUUACCAAGGCUUUGACCGGUAGCCGGCCUGAGAGGGUGACCUGCUCAAUCAGGACUGAGAUGCGACACAGCCUACAACGGGAGGCAACGGUGGGGAAGAUUGCACAGUGGGCUGAGGCCUGAUGCAGCAAAGCCACGUGCGGGAUGACGGCAUUCGGGUUGUAUACCGCUUUCGCCUGUCACGAGGCGUGAGUGACGGUAAUGGGUAAAGAAGCACCGGCUAACUACGUG